AUGCGCACAGCGGCCCUCCCCGACUCCCUCUCCACGCCUACUUUCCUGGUUUGCUGUCUGUCUUCUGAGUCAUGGGAUCCAGGCAAGCCAGAAAACAGGGUGGAAUUUCCCUCUCCCCUGUCCACUGCUCCCACAUCUGAGCCUAAGGAUUUGAUGUCUUGGCACCUCUUCAGCGAGUCCAUGUCUGACCAUCCCCACUGCUACCACCUCGGCAACGAGAAAGAACGAGAUGGAAGCGUGAUGCAGGUGGAGGCUGCGAGUCUGUGUGCAUCUCCUCUCGGCUCCUCCUCCCGAAGACGACCCGGUACCAUCGUGAGGGGCGGUCCGUCUCCGGAGACCAUUUCUGAUCACUGCAGCCAAGAUUCCCUGGAGAAGGCCAUUCUGCUGACCACUAUACCCCCAAUGCCUUGGUCAGUUAGGACUCUCUGGGGAAGACAGCACCAUAAAGAGCAAGACCAGACCAGGUGA
rnacentral:lncRNA from 1 species